CAGCAGCCGCGGGAAUACGUAGGUGGCAAGCGUUGUCCGGAAUUAUUGGGCGUAAAGCGCGCGCAGGUGGUUUAAUAAGUCUGAUGUGAAAGCCCACGGCUCAACCGGGGAGGGUCAUUGGAAACUGGGAAACUUGAGUGCAGAAGAGGAGAGUGGAAUUCCACGUGUAGCGGUGAAAUGCGUAGAGAUGUGGAGGAGCACCAGUGGCGAAGGCGACUCUCUGGUCUGUAACUGACGCUGAGGAGCGAAAGCGUGGGGAGCGAACAGGAUUAGAUACCCCGGUAGUCCCUGUCUCUUAUAC
rnacentral:rRNA from 1 species